GACGAACGCUGGCGGCGUGCUUAACACAUGCAAGUCGAACGGAAAGGCCCUGCUUUUGUGUGGUGUCCGUGUGGCUAACGGGUGAGUAACACGCGCGUAACCUGCCCUUGACUUUGGGAUAACUUCAGGAAACUGGGGAUAACACAUACUACAAACUCUUGAUCCUCGGUGGGGAUGGGAGAGUUUCGGCGGUUGGGGCAGGUAUCGGGGCUUAUCAGCUUGUUGGUGGGGUAGUGGCGUACCAUGGCUUUGACGGGUCGCCGGCAUGAGAGGGUGACAGGCCACAGUGGGACUGAGGUAGGAGCAAGAGGGCAACGGGAGGCAGCGGUGGGAAACAGUGCGCAAUGGGCGGAAGCCGGGAGCAGCAACGCCGCGUUCGGGAUGACGGCCUACGGGGUGUAAACCGCUUUCGCCUGUGACGGAGCGUGAGUGACGGUAAUGGGUAAAAAAGCACCGGCUAACUACGUG
rnacentral:rRNA from 1 species